ACGAAGGGGGCUAGCGUUGCUCGGAAUCACUGGGCGUAAAGCGCACGUAGGCGGAUUCCUAAGUCGGGGGUGAAAUCCUGGAGCUCAACUCCAGAACUGCCUUCGAUACUGGGAAUCUUGAGUCCGGAAGAGGUGAGUGGAACUGCGAGUGUAGAGGUGAAAUUCGUAGAUAUUCGCAAGAACACCAGUGGCGAAGGCGGCUAACUGGUCCGGAUCUGACGCUGAGGCGCGAAAGCGUGGGGAGCAAACAGGA
rnacentral:rRNA from 1 species